rnacentral:lncRNA from 1 species
GCCCACGACUUCAUCUGCAGACUCCAUCCGGACUCCUACGGGAGCCGGACCUCACCCACGACUUCAUCUGCAGGCUCCGCCCGGGCUCCUACGGGAGCCGGACCUCACCCACGACUUCACCUGCAGGCUCCGCCCGGACUCCUACGGGAGCCGGACUCCGCCGAUGACUCCUGCUGCAGGUAAACUUCGUCCGGACUCCUACGGGAGUCGGGCUUCGUCCCUGAUUCUAAUUGCAGGUAAACUUCGUCCGAACUCCUACAGGAGCCGGACCUCGCCUACGACUUCACUUGCAGACUCCGUCUGGACUCCUACGGGAGUCGGACUUCGCCCUGACUUCGCUUACGGGAGUCGAACUCCUGUAGCCCCA